rnacentral:lncRNA from 1 species
GUGAGGGAGAAACUGAAUUUAAAUGGAUUAAGGCUGUCUGUCCAAAGUCCUUUUGUUUCCUGCCACCUCCCUGGUGUGACUUUCACAGCUGUGCUCUGUGUGGCUCAGGGCCUGGCUUCAGGCUCCCUGCAAAGCCAGCACAGAGCUUUGCACCCCCGGGGCAUUUCCCAGAGCAGCUGGAGGAGGGCCCGGGAGCCAGCGCCCUAGGACAGAGAAAACCUUUUGAUUUUUCUAACGUCUUUCCUGUUCUCUCUGUAGGUGACGGCCUCAUGAAUUGAUGUCUCCAGCAUCAGCCCAGUGGGUGACAAAUGGGAAGGCAUCCCCAUCAGGCAGGUGAAUUCACAUUGCUCCCAGUGAUUCCUGUCCUCGUGGUCCGAGUAGAUGCUGGAGGUGAUUUGGAAGAGGUGAUUUCUUGGCUAGGACUAAUGGAGGAACUCAGGGACACGCAGGCCCUUUUUAAGUCGCAACUAACGACAUCAGCCCUUGACUGGGAUCAGCACAUGGCUCCUCUUUCCGCACCAGGAGACCAGGGGAAUCCCUCCUGCAAGGUUUGGAGUUCACGACUCAGCAGUCUGUGCAGCAGCUGGGAGGCCACAGCCCCCAGGAAAAAUGAAUCCAGCUUCCCCGCUUGGUGCCUUUCUGCACGAGCAGGUUACUGGGGGGGUUGGGGGACUGGUAAAUGCAGAAAUGUACUUACACCUCUCAGGAUCCAUGGGCAUGGCUGAGAGAAACAACUUCUGAUGGGGAAGGGCUCCCUGAAAACCCUGAGCAGAGCAAUCUAGGCGGUAGCUCAGGUGUGCUCCAGCAGCCAGGCCCUGGGUUUCAAAUGGGGAGCACUCGUGACAUGAAUGGGUUCAAGUCAGGAAGAGCCUUCGCACUGACAGUGGGCUUACAGGAAUGAGUUAAAAUCAUUUUGUUUGCUUUGUGAAAUUUAUUAAAAACUACAUUGUUCAUCUGCUGAAACUUCACAGCUGUUGAGAUUGCCCUCAGGGCAAACCACAUCCAAGAAAUGGCAUGUAGAUCUUGGGAGCACAAGACUUGAAAGCUGAAACUGCGCUCUGCAGCGCUGCCUUCGCUUCCCGUGCAGUCCUGUCGAGCCAUCUGCGGCUCCUCCAGUUCAACACCACAAUUCUUAAUUCCUCCCUGUUCUCAUCUCUGACUCUGCAGUGGAGUCAACCCUGCGGUGCAAGUACUUCAUUUCAAAGCCUUGUGUUUUGGCUAAAAAGGGACAGAGGAAAGAUGCAGGUGGCAAGAGAUCAGUGUGGGAAGUGGGUGCUCAGAGCCCGUGGCGUUCAGUGCGAGGUGCAGCCACGCGCCGUGCUGCAGCAGAUGUGCCAUCGGGUAUCACCUCCCUCUGACGUUACUGCUUCAUUGUCCUGCGGAGGAGCCAGCAGAGAGGCAACACUGGAGAAAACGAGCCCACGUGCUCAUGAAAAAUCUGUGAAUUCCUUGUAGUGGCAGCAGCUUGCUCGAUUUUGUAUUGUCAGUUGCAACUUGUUUGCAAAAAACUUCACAGGAUAAAAAAAGUAGGGCUUGCAUAUUUAGGUCUGACUUGAAAGCUCUGUGCAGACUUGGGGAGACUGAAAUCAACCACUCAGCACAAGCAAAAUUAGGGCCAGCCAGGGCUCAAAGAUACAAAUACAAACAGGACAUGAGAAACCCACUGACUGCAAUCUAUUCAGUCAUAAAUGAUUCACGGAGUAAUUUUGAGUAACAAACACAUUGGUAAGAACUGGAGGUUUUGUUUCUUUUUUUUUGGGAUGGCCCACAAACAAAAACAUUGGCUAAUUCAUCAGACGCUUUCUUUUUUCUUUGAAUAGUUUGCCCAGAUCCCUGAGCAACCACCCCGUGCAAUUUGCUGUUAACCUAAAUAACUCGAAUUCAGGUACACCCAUAGCACUGCCCAGAUCUGCCCAUGCACGCAGUAAUUAGGGCACUCCAAGCGCCAACCUGUAGCUGGGGAGGCAGGAGGCUCUGCAGGCAUCUCCCGGUGGCUACCUGCUGGUGGAAGGGAUGCGCCGCGCCGCCACGUCCCUCCCUGCAGCCGCCUGGAGAAGGCUUUGUGGGAACCUGGGGGUGGCACCGUGCCCUCAGCAGCCGCCCUGCGAGACUGGGAAAGAAAGGGCGGCCGUCUGUGGCCCCGAUGGAGGGGAAGGAGACGUGUGAGAGACCCGUGGAGGCAGAGCGUUGCAUUCCUUACCUGUGAAAUAACCCCGUGAAGUCCAAAUGCUCGGGGAAUUCCUAGAUCGCUGUAGCAACAUCUCAGCGGUGACAGUGUGAGGAUUUAAGUGAGGCUGGCUCCGAAGGGGGAGAUUGUUAUCGGCUUUCAGACCAAGAGGGAAAGCAGUGGGAAAAACGAGACCCACUUUUUACAAACCUUGUCCUCCCCGAUCCUGCUGCUAACUGGAGGGGGCAGCCAGCGUGCUGAGUUACUCAGAAAGGACCAUUUUUGACUGAAUCGUUCCAGAACUAGUCAGGAAUUAAGUUAACUGCUGCCUUUCAGAUUUAUGGGUCCCUUAAUCCUAAAUUACCUUUUAAGUGUAAGCAAACCCUAAUACCUGUUAUGUGAGGAGGGAUCUUCUGGGGCAGAAGAGAGAGGCAGAAACAAGUUACCUGAUAGAACCAGAGAUAAUAUUUAAGCUGAAAAAUAGAGGGAAUUAGCAGGUUUGGGCCCUGCUGUGGGGAUGCUCAGCUGCAGACGGGCUGUGUGAAACAACCCCCAGAGGUAGAGGCUGCCAGCAGGGCUGUGCUGAGGGACUGGGUGCUGCUGGAGCGGGACCUGGGCACAGGGCUGUGGGCACAGGGCUGAGUGGGGCUGUGCCCGCAGAGCCUGGUCGGGCAGACACACCGAAUUACCUCAUUAGCAAAGCGUCGGUGGCCAGGCUGCUCAGCACCUGCCCUUCCUCACAGCAAGGAACGACUUUAUCUAAUUAACCAAAGCGAAGGGUCCCAGAGGAGCAGCUUAAAGGGACACCCUCAGCUUGAAGCCCAGGCACCCUCAGCAAGUUGUGUGCGUGGUGGGACCAGGCAGCCUUGAUUUCCCAGGGCUGGAUGUCUCGCAUCCCCUACACC